AUUUACCACAGCCCGCAUUGGGGCGGUAGUGAAGAAGACGUGAAAACAGAGUGUGUAGAUAACACUAAUAUAACCUGGAGGUCAAGUCUGGUGCCAGCAUCCGCGGUAAUACCAGCUCCAGGAGUGUUAUGAUGAUUGCUGGAUUAAAAGGUCCGUAGUCAAUGAACAAAACUUGUCUGUAAUGUGGUUUAUUAACAGCCGAGUAGGACAGGAAUCGUUAGAGUUAGGAGCGAAGGAGGGCUAGAUUAUUGAGCAGCGAGAGGUGAAAUUUGAUGACCUGCUUAGGAGUAACAGAGGCGAAAGCGCUAGUCAAGAGCGAUCCGAAUCAAGACGUAGGGCUGGAGUAUGAAGACGAUUAGAGACCGUAGUAGUUCCAGCAGUAAAGAUGCCUACAUUGUUGUAGAUUAGUGUACGACAAAAGAGAAAUUAGUAGGGCUACGGGGAGAGUACACGCGCAAGCGAUAAAUUUAAAGGAAAUUGACGGAAGAACACCACAAGGAGUGGAGUGUGGCGGCUUAAUUUGACUCAACGCGGGACAACUUACCAUACCCGAUGACCGUGUGAGCGUCAUACGUGAUAGGUCAAAGAGUGGUGCAUGGCCGUUAUGACUAGUGGGGUGACCUUUGGGUUAAGUCCGCAAAGUAGUGAGAUCCCUAGGAUUCUGUAUGCACCAGUGUGCAGAUAUGACAGGAGCGAGAAGCGCCGGAAGGAAGGGGCAAGAACAGGUCAGUGAUGCCCUUAGAUGGUAUGGGCUGCACGCGCACUACAGUGGUCACAACAAAAACAAACCAGAAAUAAAUGUGAUCGAGAGGGAAUGAGCACUGUAAUGUGCACAGGAACGAGGAAUUGCUAGUAAUGUUAUCACAUAAGAAGCGAUGAAUGUGUCCCUGUUCUUUGUACACACCGCCCGUCGUUAUNGAAGAUGGAACCAGGUGCGAACAAGUGAAAGCGAGUGAGUGCAG
rnacentral:rRNA from 1 species